AGAGCACUUGCUGCAAACAGUACAUAGAAGGUAGAAGUUAUUUCGUGACAGGAGUGGCACAAAUGCAGAGUGGAUUCUAUCCUUGCUGAUCUCCAAGAUCCUCUCUAAAAUCCAAUACUUGCUGUUCUCUUCGUCCAAUUUUGUUGGCCCAGAUGGUUUAUGGGAUCACACCAGCGAGAGGAAUUUUCAGGGACUCGGCUACCUAAUAUUGCAUAGAUUUGAU